AUUAUAAAAAGGAGACCCGUGUACAGAUCGAUAUCGAUAUUUCUCGAAGAAAUAUCUCGAAAAUGCGUAAGCGUAAGACAGAAACCGAAGCGACAUCUGUCGAUUAUAUUAGUCGCACAUUGGGCUGGAACAAAUGAACCGGUAAAAACCAUCACAUUUGGCAAAGUGUUUGAGUGUUUUUAUCCUAUUAUAAAAAGGAGAUAAUUUAUAAUCGUGAAACAUCAUGACAUCUCCACCUAUUAAAUAUACGACCAACAGAGCCAUUGAUCAUUUCAAUGUUGCAGCUACACUCAUGAAAAUCAUCGGCUACGUCGACUGCAUUGAAGGCCUGAGAGAGUUGCCAAAGUCUCCAUCUAAGUGGAUUUACAAGUGCAUUUUAAAUAACAAUGAUGGCAGAAGGGUUCGCAUACUUUGCUCGGGGGAUGAUGCUCUCAAAUACAAGGAUGAGAUCAAGAUGUAUCAGAUAAUAAAAAUCACUGGAGGGAUUAUUAAAGCGGCCAAUCCACAGUAUCGGCGAUCAACGGACACUGUGAGCGACAAAGAAUUUCAAUUUGCACGUAGGAGCACUUUCGACAUCUUUGGCACAUUUAACAUUACGAAUGGAGCUGACAAUGGAAGGUCGAAGGUCAUCUCAUAUAAAAAAUUGAGAUGGAGAACGUUUGUGCUGCUCGCGGGCCAGUCCAGAUCACUGGAUGGCUCAAAGAGCCAUUCAGAAGCAUUACCACGUCCUGACUGAGGAUGUAGCCCUCAAUGAAGAUGAGUUGGAUGAUGCUGUCGAAGCACCUCCUCUCAUUCUCAAACGAGGGGCAGCUGAAUCUGCAUCUGGAGAGGCGAUGGACGUCGCGAAUAAGAAACUGAAAGCUGAAUAGCUUUAAUGACGGGCUAUUUACUCUGGAAGUUCAAUUGCAAAAUUGAAAAUUUUUUCUAUAACAAGUUCUAAACUGUUAUUUUUUCACACAAAAAUUGAGUUCUAUAACAAGUUUAACACUGUUAUUUUUUUACGCAAAAAUUGAAUUCUAUAACAAGUUUAAUACUGUUAUUUUUUUACACAAAAAUGAAACAUUGACAAGCUUGAGCUCUUUAAGAAUCUGAUUUUUUACUUUUAAAGACUGCCAACUUCAUAGCAGUAACGUUAAUACUCAUUUAGCUUUAACAACCAAAACAGAUGGAAUUAUAAUAAUCUAUUCAUGAACAUUAGUAUUUAUUCAGAAUUUAUUUCAAUAUAUGGCCCUGUUUUUGAAGAAAAAGUAUUACUAAACAUUUGUAUUUUUUAUAUAUAACAGAGAAAACUGAAGACUAAUUAAUUUUAUGAUUAAAGUAGAUAAAGCUCUCCGGAAUCACAGAUAAGUGAUACAAAGGAUGUAUUCAUGUUAAUGUUUGUUCAUAGUUCUUAACAUAUGUUGUAAUGUCAAUUAUAAUUGUUGGAACAUUAUUUUUGUUUUCAUUUCAAAAUCCGUCCCACUCCUGUAAAUGUUUAUUGAACGCAAGUGGCAUAGGUUUGGAGUUAAUGGUUUCAUUAAUAAAAAUUUAAAACGCGAUUUUUUUGCAGACAUUCAGUUUGAACCUUCCCUACGGUUGUAAGUCGCAGGUAUACACCUUAGUGCGGCAACAAUGUCUCCUGCACUACUACUCACGAAAAAAAAUUCGCAAGCAGCGAUGUUCUUGGUUAUGUGAAGGGAAUAAAUAAUCUCAAUCGCAUAAUUUGAUGUUCACAAAUAAUUAGAAAAUCUUUAAUUAUUAGAUUAGAUUAUUAUGAGACUAAGAACGCCCUCUUCCUGACUUGACUGAUUGCUGUCGCUAUUAUAGCUAAAUCUCGAAUUUGCGGAAAUGUUCUCGAUUCUGUAUACCGUAUGCUGCCUCGCACUGUAUAGUAUAUGCAAUCUUAGAGCAAUCGAAAUAUAUUAAGAUUUUCCCAAUUGUCUUUUUCCAUGAGUUUUAAUUUUAACUUCGAAGAUAGAAUAAGAGCAUUCAUUUUCUAGAGUUUUCAAUUCUUAUGAUUUGGAAAAGAUGGCGCGUGCGUAGCACGC